rnacentral:rRNA from 1 species
CCUACGGGAGGCAGCAGUGAGGAAUAUUGGUCAAUGGGCGCGAGCCUGAACCAGCCAAGUAGCGUGAAGGAUGACGGCCCUACGGGUUGUAAACUUCGUUUAUAAAGGAAUAAAGUGAGGCACGUGUGCCUUUUUGUAUGUACUUUAUGAAUAAGGAUCGGCUAACUCCGUGCCAGCAGCCGCGGUAAUACGGAGGAUCCGAGCGUUAUCCGGAUUUAUUGGGUUUAAAGGGAGAGUAGAUGGGUUGUUAAGUCAGUUGUGAAAGUUUGCGGCUCAACCGUAAAAUUGCAAUUGAAACUGGUUUUCUUGAGUGAAGUAGAGGUUGGCGGAAUUCCGAGUGUAGCGGUGAAAUGCGUAGAUAUUCGGAGGAACACCGGUGGCGAAGGCGGCCAACUGGGCUUUAACUGACGCUGAGGCUCGAAAGUGUGGGGAGCAAACAGGAUUAGAUACCCGAGUAGUC